GAUGAACGCUGGCGGCGUGCCUAAUACAUGCAAGUCGAGCGAACCACUUCGGUGGUGAGCGGCGAACGGGUGAGUAACACGUAGGUGAUCUGCCCAUCAGACGGGGACAACGAUUGGAAACGAUCGCUAAUACCGGAUAGGACGAAAGUUUAAAGGUGCUUCUGGCACCGCUGAUGGAUGAGCCUGCGGCGCAUUAGCUAGUUGGUAGGGUAAAGGCCUACCAAGGCGACGAUGCGUAGCCGACCUGAGAGGGUGAACGGCCACACUGGGACUGUGACACGGCCCAUACUCCUCCGGGAGGCAGCAGUAGGGAACAUUCGGCAAUGGGCGAAAGCCUGACCGAGCAACGCCGCGUGAAUGAUGAAGGCCUUCGGGCUGUAAAAUUCUGUUAUAAGGGAAGAACGACUUUAGUAGGAAAUGGCUAGAGUGUGACGGUACCUUAUGAGAAAGCCACGACUAACUACGUGCCAGCCGCCGCGGUAA
rnacentral:rRNA from 1 species